AAAUAUGUAGGGAGCUGCAGAGGGAUUCAUUUGCCUUUAAAAUCUUCAGAGGACGUAGAAAGUCUCGAGCUGGACUUGCAGACGGAUCCAGGAAAACGGGCACACUUGGAAUGCUAUUUGAGAAUGCGUGGAGGAAGCAAUUUGAAGCAGGUAGUCAGGGGCAUACUAUCUCAGCUGUUUACAAAUGAGUUGGCCCGAUCCUACAACGUACAUGGGAAGAAGGGGAAGAAGGGACUAAAAAACCACCCCUUUCUUUUGCAAACAGUUCAGGAUGCUGCAAGAAAAACGUUCCCUGCAGCAACAGAUGUAGAAGUGCAGGCAUUGAUCGCAAAGUGGCUAACUGGUGCGCGGGACCGAGAUAACGGACGACGAGAAAGGGCACCCGAGCACAGACAAUUAAAAGCAUUAUUAAAUAACUCUGGGGAGGGGAAUGCAUUGGGGGGCAUGUAAAG